rnacentral:misc_RNA from 1 species
UCAAACUUGGUCAUUUAGAGGAAGUAAAAGUCGUAACAAGGUUUCCGUAGGUGAACCUGCGGAAGGAUCAUUAGUGAAUAAACUUGCGUGGGUUGUUGCUGGCCUCCUCGGAGGUAUGUGCACGCUCACCAUUGUUUCAUUCUCCUUCCACCUGUGCACUUUUUGUAGACCAGGCCGUCACUUUUCGGGUUGCUUGCAUCUCGGUUAUGAGGACUUGCUCUGGCUGUCCUUGGAUGGUGUGGUCUAUGUCUUUUAUCAACCCUGCAUGUAACAGAAUGUUUGUUCUGGGUUUCUACACCCAUAAAAUCUAUACAACUUUCAACAACGGAUCUCUUGGCUCUCGCAUCGAUGAAGAACGCAGC